GCCAGCCCGCUCAGAAACUCAAAGGAAUUGACGGGGCCCGGCACAAGCGGAGGAACAUGUGGUUUAAUUCGAUGAUACGCGAGGAACUUACCUGGGCUAGAACGCAUUCGGAAUCAGGCCGAAAGGCCUGCGCCAGCGAUGGCCGCUUGCGAGGUGCUGCAUGGUUGUCGUCAGCUCGUGCCGUGAGGUGUCGGAUUAAGUCCCAUAACGAGCGCAACCCCUACUGCUAGUUGCCAGCGGGUCAUGCCGGGGACUCUAGCGGAACUGCCAGCGCAAGCUGCGAGGAAGGUGGGGAUGACGUCAAAUCAGCACGGCCCUUACGUCCAGGGCUACACACGUGUUACAAUGGCCGGUACAGAGGGCAGCCACCCCGCGAGGGGGCGCGAAUCCCGAAAGCCGGUCCCAGUUCGGAUCGGAGUCUGCAACCCGACUCCGUGAAGCUGGAUUCGCUAGUAAUCGCGCAUCAGCCACGGCGCGGUGAAUACGUUCCCGGGCCUU
rnacentral:rRNA from 1 species